rnacentral:rRNA from 1 species
CAAAAACAUAGCUAGAUGUUAUUAUAUUUAGUGCUUCCUGCUCAAUGAUAUAUUUAAUAGCCGCAGUACCCUGACUGUGCAAAGGUAGCAUAAUCAAUUGGCUUAUAAUUGAAGUCUAGAAUGAAAGGAUAUACGGGUAAUUACUGUAUCUAAUAUUUACCACAAAAUUAGUUUUCAAGUGCAAAUACUUGUAAAUAACUGUUAGACGAGAAGACCCUAGAAAUUUGUACCGAUGUUUCGUUGGGGCAACGUAGUAGGAAUAACCUACAGUGAAAGACGCGAAAUUUUUUCGAAAGAAAAAAUUACUCUAGGGAUAACAGCAUAAUUUAUAAAAGUUUGUGACCUCGAUGUUGGAUUUGGGAGCUAUAGUUCAAAAGACUUUUAGCAUUGCUCUGUUCGAGCAUAACACCUAACAUGAUCUGA